rnacentral:lncRNA from 1 species
UCUCAUCUCUCUCUAACUAUUACUGCUCGUGUUUUCUCAUUUCUCUAUAAAAUAAUUAUGACUGUGUUUUUCAUCUCUCUCUAACAUAUUUACUGUCAGUGUUCUCAUCUCUCUAACCUAUUACUGUCUGUUUUAUCAUCUCUCUCUACCAUAUAUACUCUUAGUGUUUCAUCAUUCUCUCAAACAUAUUGACAGUCAGUGUUUAUAUCAUUUCUCUCUAACAUAUUUACCGUCAGUGUUGAAUAUCUCUCUCUAACUAUUACUGUCAGUUUUUUCUCAUCUCUCUCUAACAUAUUUCUGCCAGUGUUUAUCAUUCUCUCUCUCACAUAUUUACUGUCAGUGUUUCUCAUCUCUCUCUAACAUAUUUACUGUCAGUGUUUUCUCAUCUCUCUCUAACAUAUACUGUCAGUGUUCUCUUCUCACUAUAACAUAUUUACUGUCAGUGUUUUCUCAUCUCUCUCUAAUAUAUUUACUGUCAGCAUUUUUAUCUCUAACAUAUUUACUGUCAGUGUUUUCUCAUCUCGCUAACAUUUACUGUCAGUGUUUCUCAUCUCUCUCUAAUAUAUUUACUGUCAGUGUUUUUCAUUUCU